GGCAUUGUGGCAGAGUGGUCUAAUGCGCAAGACUAGAAUUUCUAUCUAUCUUGUUCCUUCGGGAGCGUCUGUUCGAAUCAGGCCAAUGUCG